rnacentral:lncRNA from 1 species
GCAGUGCUGGGGAGGUCAGUGGGGUCAGUGCAGCGGUGGUCAGUGCAGGGGGCUCAGUGGGUCAUUGCACGGGGAUUGGGGGGUCAGAGCAGUAGGGAGCAGUGCAGGGGGUCCGUGGGUCAGUGCAGGGGGGCCAAGGAGGGGUCAGUGCAGGGGGGCCGUGGGUCAGUGCAGGGGGGCCAAGGGGGGUCAGUGCAGGGGGUCCGUGGGUCAGUGCAGGGGGGCCAAGGGGGGUCAGUGCAGGGGGUCCGUGGGUCAGUGCAGGGGGGCCGUGGGUCAGAGCAGGAGGGCCAAGGGGGGUCAGUGCAGGGGGUCCGCGGGUCCGUGCGGGGGCCGGGGGUCCCGCGGGCCGUGCAGCGCCCCCCGGUGUCAGCGCAGCCCCUGCAGCGCCGGGCCCGGGAGCGGGGCGGGGGCGCGGCUGCCGAUUCGGCGGGUGCGGGGCCGGGGGCGGUGAGGGCGGGGGUCCCGCCGAGGGGGUCGCGCCGGGCCAGUUUCUGUCCCCGCUCUGUCCCGGCAGUUGCCGGCCCCGCUCCCGCCCAAAACUCCGCUCCUCCGGGACCCCGUUAUCCCCGCUGUCCCGUUAUCCCUGGACCCCCCGUUAUCCCUGACGGUUCCGUUAUCCCCGGCGGUCCCGUUAUUCCCGGAUCUCCGUUAUCCCAGCCCCGUUCUCCCCGGCGGCUCCGUUACCCGAGGCGGUCCCGUUAUCCCCCGUUGUCCCGUUCCGGGCGGGUCCCGCUGCCGCCGGCCCCGCCCCGGCCCCGACGGGCGGCUCCUCCCGCCCCCCGACCCGGACCCCGGGCGGGCGGGGACCCCCGGCCCUUGCUCUGCCCCCGGCCCGUACUCACCCCGGGGCAUGGCGCGGCGGCGGGCGCGGGGCCGGGGCGGCAGCGGCAGCGGCAGGACGAAGAGCAGGACGAAGAGGAGGAGGAGGAGGAGGAGGAGGAGGAAGUCUGCGGCCGCCUCCUCCGCCGCCCCGGGCGGUCCCGCGGAGAAACUUCCCUCGCCGCGCCCGGCCCCCCGCGCCCGCCGCUUCCUUCCUCGGCCCGGGCCGGUCCCGGGACCGCGGCAGCGCAGCCCCUGCGCCCUCCGCCAUCGCCCCGGGCUGCGGGCACCGGGACGGGGCUGCGGGCUGAGGCUGCGGCGGGUUUGGGGCAGGACCCCGGGGCAGGACCCCCGCGUCCCCCUGCGCCCCCCGGGACGGCCCCGAGCAGGGACCCGCAGCUCCCGUGGCCGGGUUGGGAGCAGGGACCCUCCUCCUUCGCCCCCACUCCCCACCCUUGA